rnacentral:rRNA from 1 species
UACGUAGGGGGGCAAGCGUUGUCCGGAAUCAUUGGGCGUAAAGAGCGUGUAGGCGGCCAUACAGGUCAGCUGUGAAAACUCGAGGCUCAACCUCGAGACGUCGGUUGAAACCGUAUGGCUAGAGUCCGGAAGAGGAGAGUGGAAUUCCCGGUGUAGCGGUGAAAUGCGCAGAUAUCGGGAGGAACACCGGUGGCGAAGGCGGUUCUCUGGGCCUGACCUGACGCUGAGGAGCGAAAGCGUGGGGGAGCGAAACAG